rnacentral:misc_RNA from 1 species
GAUGAAGAACGCAGCGAAAUGCGAUAAGUAAUGUGAAUUGCAGAAUUCAGUGAAUCAUCGAAUCUUUGAACGCACAUUGCGCCCGCCAGUAUUCUGGCGGGCAUGCCUGUUCGAGCGUCAUUUCAACCAUCAAGCCCCCGGCUUGUGUUGGGGACCUGCGGCUGCCGCAGGCCCUGAAAACCAGUGGCGGGCUCGCUAGUCACUCCGAGCGUAGUAGUUACAUCUCGCUCAGGGCGUGCUGCGGGUUCCGGCCGUUAAAAGCCUUAUUUACCCAAGGUUGACCUCGGAUCAGGUAGGAAGACCCGAUGAACUUAAGCAUAUCAAUAAGCGGAGGA